rnacentral:rRNA from 1 species
UACGUAGGGUGCAAGCGUUGUCCGGAAUUAUUGGGCGUAAAGAGCGUGUAGGCGGUCCGGUAAGUCAGCUGUGAAAGUCAAGGGCUCAACCCUUGAAAGCCGGUUGAUACUGUCGGGCUAGAGUCCGGAAGAGGCGAGUGGAAUUCCCGGUGUAGCGGUGAAAUGCGCAGAUAUCGGGAGGAACACCAAUGGCGAAGGCAGCUCGCUGGGACGGUACUGACGCUGAGACGCGAAAGCGUGGGGAGCGAACAGG